UCUAAAAUUAGAAAUUUAUAACCAAUUGAAAACUUAUUUCUUAGCAUGAUCAGUGGCCACUUACUAAGAUUUUCGAUAUAGCCUAGUUGUUCCCCUCUGCACCUAAAUGAUAUCAGUAAGGAGCAGAGUGGACUACAUUCUGCAGUGACCAGGAGGCUAAGUUGAGAGUCAUGAGGGAACUGCUUGUUCCAGGCUGCUGCUGGGACAAUUUGCAUGGGAUUCCAAAUGUUUCAUUGAGAAGCACAUAGCAAAACCCCCCAACUGCAUAUUUGGAUCCCAGGCUCUGCAAUGUGAUCUGCCAGUUCAGAAUCCUGCGCCGUUCCAGAGUCCUGUCCCACAAGGGACUCUGCAGGGGCCCAGACUAGACAUUGCAAGGUAGAUGAGUUAGCUGAUAUGUCUUUGUGAACACACAACCUUUGAUUUGUAAUCACAAAUACAGCUGCCCUGCUAACCCAGCCUUCCAGAAACCUUUCCAACCAAACAGCAGCACCAGCAAAGGGGUGGUGUUAUUUUCCCCUAUUUCAUUCACCUAAGAUGUGAAUUUCAGAACUUUGCUUAUACCAUGCUCAAUAAUGUUCACAUUUACAGGCAAUUUCUUCUUCCUUCCAACCGCGAGCAGUAGGCAAAGAGAAGAUUGUUAGGAAAGGAAAUUGUUAAUAGCCAGCUUUUCCCCUAGCAAAUGAAAAAGUAAGAUACAGCAAUACCAUUCAUGAAAUCGUAUUCUAUUCAGGACAAGCGAGAGACACUUGUUUGUGAAGAAAAUGCAAAAAUGUUUUCCCUAAAUUUCCCCUAUAAUUUUCAUACAUAUUUUUUAAAAUUUUCAAACUUUAUCCCAUCCCUAAUUAACCUACACAGGGCCAAGCUAAGUCUAUUCAACACUAGUGUCACCAAACAUUACAGAUGUUUUCCAAAAUCUUUUAUUUCAAAAUAUUCCAUUUAUAAUUUAAACUGAUCAACACUGAAUAGCAGCAAAUUUCCCUAUCAGCAAAUCUGUUAGGUUCUUUUUAGUUCUAUCUUGAUUAAAUUAGAGUUGCUAAAUGAGAAGGUAAAGACUAGAAUGACACAAUCCUUUCCAGUCCUCACAUUUCUAAUUAAAAUCCUCUUGGACACUAUACCUCUAGAACUAACUCUGUAUUGCUGAAAAUAUUGAUAAACUCUUAACUGAUUUUUACUGGUGUAAUACUCCUCCACUAUUGUAUUUUAAAAUCUAGUUUACAGUAGCGUUUUACAACAAUAAACUUCUAUAGAAUGUGCAGUUAAAUAUAAUCUCAAUAAUAAUUAAUAAUACCUAGCUCUUGUAUAGCAUCUUUUAUCCAUAGAUAUCAAUUAAGUUGGGUCAGUUUAAAUUCAUCUAGACAAGUUGACUUUGUUAAAGACUUACCGACUGAAAUCAAGGCAAAGACAAAAAUCAGUGAAAUCAUUCUGUACGCUUCACCACGAUUCUGUGUUCACGCAACGGUACUGGACUUUCUUCUCAUCCUGCUACUUAUGAAUACUAGUGAAGGCCACCCUGGCUUCCAAGCCAAUCCAAAUUCAUAUACUUUCAAUUCAGUGUAAAGGAGGCAGUCUUAUUAUGUGAGCUAAUCUGGAGACAAUAAUGCCAUCCCAGUGUGUAUUGCUCCAAUACAAAACAUAUGAGCACAUGGGGAUUUCUACCUGAGAGAGAUCCAAAACCAGGAUUUUUUCCUAAUUCUCAACAAACUUAUGCACAAUAAACAAUUUAGCUAUGUUUGAAUAUAAAAUAUUGCUGUGCCACAGAUGACUUUAGGUGAAUGGGCCUUUGAAAGCUUGUUUCUGUUGUUUCUUAGAAAUUGAUAUGUCAGUGAAGAGUUCACUGGAAACCUGGAUUAGCAGGUAUGACGCUACCCCUGUCACAGGCCCUUGACUAAAUCCUGCUUUCUUUACUGAGGGGGAAAACAGAGUUCAGUGGGAAUAAUUGCUGAAAGUUAUCACCAUUACCUGAAGCUGAGGAGGACACAUACUGAGGUGAUCUACCUGACCAGCUAUCCUCAUUUCACCAUCUCCCAUUGUAUUUCAUCUGUUUGUCUCUCCUUUCUGGCAAUGUUGUGUGCACAAUACUCCAGAUGUGGUCACAUCAGAUUCAGGGCGCAAGAGGAAUUAUUCAAAGGGGAAGAUUCCAAACAUCCAUUAUUUUCUCAUUAUUUAUUAUUGUUCCCUGCUAGUCACCCUCAUUCAUUAAAAGAUGGAAAGCUAAUGUGGACUAAAUAUUUUUUGUGUGUGCUCAAUGACAUGUAAAUGUAAUGAGUUGUAUCGAAUAGGCGUAGAAGUUACCAUUCAUAGUCUAAUUUUAAGAAGUUGCUUCCAAACUUUUGUUGAUUCAUUGGCCUAUUCUGUUGUUGGUGAACUUCACCCCUGUGCAGCGAGCCAGCACAAAGCCCAUGUACCACUUAAGUCUCACUUAAGCCGUAUUUUGUUCCGGCCCAUCUGCAAGGGGUGAAGUUCACCAACAACAGAAUGCCUGUGUUAGUGCAUCUGUUCUUUUCUCUUUUAUACAGAAAUGAUGACUUCCAAUUUAAAAAAAAAAUUGUAGAAAACCCCACAAACAAACCAACACACAAAGCCAGGAUGAACCUCCUGCUUAAAGGCUUAGAAAAUCUCCAGCCUUUUGAUACAGUCACUUGGGGCGCUAUUGGCAGCUUACAGUCCAGACCACAUUGGGGUGGCAUUGCCCCAGGAGCAGAGAUGGGACUAAUUCUGAGUUAGAUUUGAAGUUCAGUCCCUGCUUCCUCCUUAUUCCACGAAGGAUGUGAAAUGUGUUGUAAGCCUUUUCCCGAGCACAGCUUAAUUCCCCUUUAUGCCAGCUCAGCUGGGGAAGGAGAGUGAAUAUACAGCCAAGAUUCCAUCCACUCCCACCAACCUACACA